rnacentral:rRNA from 1 species
UACAGAGGGUGCGAACGUUGCUCGGAAUUACUGGGCGUAAAGCGCGUGUAGGCGGAUCGGCAAGUCAGGCGUGAAAUCCCCAGGCUCAACCUGGGAACUGCGCUUGAUACGGCAGUGCUAGAGGAUGGAAGAGGCUCGCGGAAUUCCCAGUGUAGAGGUGAAAUUCGUAGAUAUUGGGAAGAACACCGGUGGCGAAGGCGGCGAGCUGGUCCAUUACUGACGCUGAGGCGCGACAGCGUGGGGAGCAAACAGG